CCUACGGGAGGCAGCAGUGAGGAAUAUUGGUCAAUGGGCGAGAGCCUGAACCAGCCAAGUCGCGUGAGGGAGUACUGCCCUAUGGGUUGUAAACCUCUUUUGUCGGGGAGCAAAAGCCGGACGUGUCCGGCUGUGAGAGUACCCGCAGAAAAAGCAUCGGCUAACUCCGUGCCAGCAGCCGCGGUAAUACGGAGGAUGCGAGCGUUAUCCGGGUUUAUGGGGUUUAAAGGGUGCGCAGGCGGAUUUUUAAGUCAGCGGUCAAAUCGUGGGGUUCAACCCCAUCCAGCCGUUGAAACUGGGGAUCUAGAGUGUGCGAGAGGUAUGCGGAAUGCGUGGUGUAGCGGUGAAAUGCAUAGAUAUCACGCAGAACCCCGAUUGCGAAGGCAGCAUACCGGUGCACAACUGACGCUCAGGCACGAAAGCGUGGGUAUCGAACAGGAUUAGAUACCCCAGUAGUC
rnacentral:rRNA from 1 species